rfam:Sinorhizobium fredii GR64 contig00023, whole genome shotgun sequence.
CCUCAUCGAAGCGCUGCACCUCCUCCCGCGGCGCCCGAUGCGGGUCGGUUUCACUCCUCCUCCCAGGAACCGGCCGAGUUUGAAGACCCCGACGCCACCUCCUCCCGGCUCGGGGUCUUUUU